rnacentral:rRNA from 1 species
AUGAGAGCCGCACUGCUCACGACGGUGCACGACUAUCUCGGUUACGGAUAUCUCGCGGGGCAGGUGGUCCACGGAUUUUCUGGAUGCGUCAGGUGCAUGGAUGACACAACGUAUCCCCAGAUUGAUAGAGAUCUCGGGUCUUCGAAAACCGUGUUCAUCGGACAUCGAAGGUGGCUUCACGACAAUGACCCAUGGAGAAAACGCAAGGAUCUGUUCGAUGGUGAAACCGAACCCCGAAGACGCCCGCGUACGAGGAGCGGCGAGGAACGAGCUAUUGAAAAAUUGGAAAGAUUGCCCACUAUUGGGAAAGAAGCAAAAGUAGCCAGAGCCGGGAAAGAAGCGAAAGGUGCCAGAGCCGCUGCUGAAGGUAUGUUUUCUGGGACUUGCCGUACUGGAAGAUCCAUCGUGUGCCUCACAGCCUUGAUGUCAUGCAUAUCACGAAGAACGUGUGUGAGAGUCUGCUUGGUACCCUGCUCAACAUGCCAGAGAGGACCAAAGAUGGGCCGAAAGCAAGGGCAGACUUGA